CACUACAAUAAAACUGAUAAUAAAUGAUUGUGAUUUUAUAACAAAAAUUAUUUUAUUAUAUAAGUAUGAUGGAGUUGUGAUAGAAUUUUGGUCUAUCAAACAAUUAAUGAUGCACAUGUGAUAGAAUAUUAGUCUAUCAAGAGUUUAUGACAUGCAUGUGAUAGAAAUUACCUUAGUCACAAGCAUUGUAAUAUAAAUUUUAUAUUGACCUUUUUUGACCAAAUUUAAAAGUAAUAUUUUAUUUUUUUUAAAAUCCAAAAUGCACUUCUCAAAAACAAAAAUCCAAAAUGCAGCAUUUAGAUUGAAAAAAGAUUUUUGAAAUAAAAAAGUAAAUAAAACAAAUGGUGCAUUUAAACUAAAUAUAAAUAAAGCAAAAAGUUUUCUAAGUCCUAAACUCAAAACUCAACACUCUACACUCACCACACUCAUAAUCACUUUCACUCUCACAAACAUCACUCAACCCUAGCCACACUCAUUGUCACACUUCAAUUAAUCAGCCAUUAUCACCACCCAAACUCUAAUAGACCAAUAGUUCCUUACCCUUAGUUCUCCAAACACAAUCAACCACUACCACCACUGAUCGAAUGACAAAGCAACACUUAAAUCAUAGAUCCAUUGAUCAAAUUUGAACUGGCCACCACAACCUUGAAUGGUGAUGGUGCGAGCCGACGCGAAUCAUCCAUCUCCUUGAUGUUGUCACAUGACCUUUAAUUUUAGGUUUGUUCUUUUUCUUCAAGUAAAUUUAUUUAAGUCCCCAAGUGGUUGAGCGAAAGUUUGUAUUUUAGAGAUUUUUUGGGCAAAUGAUUGAAUGACUGAGAUGAUGGGAUUAGUUAAGAAGUUAGAUUAGGAAAUAGGGAUAGAGAGUGUAAAGUUUUUUUUUUUUAAAUUUGUGAUGUAAAGGUUGAAGUUGAUGGAGCUGGAGAUGGACAGAUAAAGUACAGAUAAGUGUAAGAUUGCUGAUGAGGUUGGUCUUUGUCUGUAUGUGUGAUUUUUUUAGCUAGGAGGUAGGGGUUAAGGUAGUUGGCACCCAUAAAUGGCACAAAAAUUGUACCAGAAUACCAUCUCUACCCAUUCUAACUUUUCAAGAUCUGCUUAUAUGAGAAACAAGAUUGCUGGAAUCCCUUUCUUGUUAACUUCCUAAAGGUUCUAUAUUUUUCUUUCUUGUUUGUUGCAAUCUGUAUCCUUUUUUACUUGUCUUCUUUCAAGGCAUAAACCAAGGGAAUACUUACAGUUUUUUAUUGCAUUUAGUUGUGUAAAUUAGUAAGUUUACUAGUCAGUACAAGUAAUAUAAUGUAGAGUAAAAUAUUAUUCCACAGAGAUUGUAUAUUCUAUUAGUUAAUAAAAUAAUUCUAACCCUAAUUGUUUUUUCAACAAUCGAAUAAGAGAAUUUAAAUUAAAAAUUAAAGUAAAAUAAAGCAACUAAAAAUUAAAUAAGAAUGCAAGCGAUUAUGAAAUUACCAAGAGAUUAAGACAUUAGAACAUUUGAUUUCACCAUAACCAAUUAAAGUAAUCAUCCAUCUAUGCUAUUAAAGAUUAUUACGCAUAUUGACAGUUGAAUAACCCUAAUUCUUUUGAUACUCUUUCUUAAGCAAUAUCAAAUAUAUUCCCAUAUACUAAUCCAUUAUAUCUCUAUGCGCAUUACAAUAUAUAAAAACUCAUUAAGCUUUACAGUAUUCUUAAAUUAACUGCAUGGAUUAGGUUAGUACAUCUCUAUCUCCUAUAUAAUUUAUGGCAUCCAUUUUAUAGAGCAAAAAUACACAAAUAUCCUCUCAAUUUCAUUAUGUACCCUCAAAUCAUUCAUAUAUUAGCUAGGUAUUUAAAAGCACUAAGCAUAAUAAUAAGCACUUAAUUUUGGAAUAAUAAACUAAAAAAAUUAAGAUUUAUGGAAUUAAAUCUUUAUAGUUAGGCUAUAUUGUAGCCCUAAUAAAAUAAAUUAGUUCAUGGAAAUAUAAAGAGAAUCCAUAAAUAUUGUAGAGAACAUUCCACCAAGACGAUUGGAAAAUAGAAAAAAAAAACUUAAUUUGAGCGUCUUCUUCCUCUAAAUUGCUCUUGUUACUCUCAGGUUUUUCUUCUAAUUAGUCGGCUGUAACUCUUUUUCUAAUUCUCUCUUCUUCUGUGGCUUCUAUUAUUUUUCUUCUUAUGCGGUUUUCAUUGCUUCCGUUCGUGCCCCUUAUAAUGCUUUAAUUAGUGGCCUUUAUAUAGUAAUAGUGCUAGCCGCCUCUUUAAUUCCUAAGCCAACAAGAAUUUUGAAGCCUAUCAUGUUCAUGUGCUAGCCAAUUAAUUUACCAAAGUGCUCUCCGCAUGAAUGACUUAAAGUUGGAAGUCAUUACCCUUUUCGUCUUUUCCUUUAUUCUUCACAUUCAUAAAUCAUAAGUGUUUGCCUUGUUGUAAAAAAAAAAAAACAAUUUCCAAUACUAAUUCUUCUAAUCUUCACAUGGUUGCCACACUUAGUACCUAUUUAAUAUGACUUAUUUAAUGAUUAUAAGUAUUUAUUAAUCCUGUAAGUUCUUAUCAAAAAUUUUGUUAUUGUUUCUUUUAAUAGAGUUU
rnacentral:lncRNA from 1 species